rnacentral:rRNA from 1 species
GGUGGCAAGCGUUGUCCGGAAUUAUUGGGCGUAAAGGGCUCGCAGGCGGUUUCUUAAGUCUGAUGUGAAAGCCCCCGGCUCAACCGGGGAGGGUCAUUGGAAACUGGGGAACUUGAGUGCAGAAGAGGAGAGUGGAAUUCCACGUGUAGCGGUGAAAUGCGUAGAGAUGUGGAGGAACACCAGUGGCGAAGGCGACUCUCUGGUCUGUAACUGACGCUGAGGAGCGAAAGCGUGGGGAGCGAACAGGAUUAGAUACCCUGGUAGUCCACGCCGUAAACGAUGAGUGCUAAGUGUUAGGGGGUUUCCGCCCCUUAGUGCUGCAGCUAACGCAUUAAGCACUCCGCCUGGGGAGUACGGUCGCAAGACUGAAACUCAAAGGAAUUGACGGGGGCCCGCACAAGCGGUGGAGCAUGUGGUUUAAUUCGAAGCAACGCGAAGAACCUUACCAGGUCUUGACAUCCUCUGACAAUCCUAGAGAUAGGACGUCCCCUUCGGGGGCAGAGUGACAGGUGGUGCAUGGUUGUCGUCAGCUCGUGUCGUGAGAUGUUGGGUUAAGUCCCGCAACGAGCGCAACCCUUGAUCUUAGUUGCCAGCAUUCAGUUGGGCACUCUAAGGUGACUGCCGGUGACAAACCGGAGGAAGGUGGGGAUGACGUCAAAUCAUCAUGCCCCUUAUGACCUGGGCUACACACGUGCUACAAUGGACAGAACAAAGGGCAGCGAAACCGCGAGGUUAAGCCAAUCCCACAAAUCUGUUCUCAGUUCGGAUCGCAGUCUGCAACUCGACUGCGUGAAGCUGGAAUCGCUAGUAAUCGCGGAUCAGCAUGCCGCGGUGAAUACGUUCC